GUGAAUCAUCAAAUUUUUGAACGCAAAUUGCGCUUCCUGGCAUCCCGGGAAGCACGCCUGUUUGAGGGUCAGUAUUAACAAAAAAUCGGGUUGGUUGCAAAUUGUGACGUUUCCGGAGUUUGGGCUAUCUUAGCUUUUUUGGUUAAGGGGCUUAAAAUUGACCCUUUUUGGGCAUUCUUAUUU
rnacentral:misc_RNA from 1 species